AUUGAACGCUGGCGGCAGGCCUAACACAUGCAAGUCGAGCGGAUGAAGGGAGCUUGCUCCUGGAUUCAGCGGCGGACGGGUGAGUAAUGCCUAGGAAUCUGCCUGGUAGUGGGGGAUAACGUCCGGAAACGGGCGCUAAUACCGCAUACGUCCUGAGGGAGAAAGUGGGGAUCUUCGGACCUCACGCUAUCAGAUGAGCCUAGGUCGGAUUAGCUAGUUGGUGGGGUAAAGGCCUACCAAGGCGACGAUCCGUAACUGGUCUGAGAGGAUGAUCAGUCACACUGGAACUGAGACACGGUCCAGACUCCUACGGGAGGCAGCAGUGGGGAAUAUCGGACAAUGGGCGAAAGCCUGAUCCAGCCAUGCCGCGUGUGUGAAGAAGGUCUUCGGAUUGUAAAGCACUUUAAGUUGGGAGGAAGGGCAGUAAGUUAAUACCUUGCUGUUUUGACGUUACCAACAGAAUAAGCACCGGCUAACUUCGUG
rnacentral:rRNA from 1 species